rnacentral:rRNA from 1 species
UACGAAGGGGGCUAGCGUUGUUCGGAAUUACUGGGCGUAAAGCGCGCGCAGGCGGUUCUUCAAGUCAGAGGGGAAAGCCCAGAGCUCAACUCUGGAAUGGCCUUUGAGACUAGAGGACUUGGGUACGGGAGAGGUGAGUGGAAUUCCGAGUGUAGAGGUGAAAUUCGUAGAUAUUCGGAAGAACACCAGUGGCGAAGGCGACUCGCUGGACAAGUAUUGACGCUGAGGUGCGAAAGCGUGGGGAGCAAACAGG